rnacentral:rRNA from 1 species
GGCUGGCGCUGCUUACCAUGCAGUUGACGAGCUUAGAUUUUUUAAAAUUUAAGCCAGUAGCGAACGGGUGAGUAACGCGUAAGAACUUACCUUUAGGUUAGGAAUAACUUUUGGAAACGAUAGCUAAUACCUAAUAAUCUAAAUAAAAUAGUGAAAAACAAAAAUUGCCUAAAGAUAGGCUUGCGUCUGAUUAGCUUGUUGGUAAUUUAAAAGAUUUACCAAGGCAACGAUCAGUAGUUGGUCUAAGAGGAUGAUCAACCACACUGGGACUGAGACACGGCCCAGACCUCUACGGAGGGCAGCAGUGAGGAAUUUUCCGCAAUGGGCGAAAGCCUGACGGAGCAAUGCCGCGUGAAGGAUGAAGGCUUGUGAGUUGUAAACUUCUUUUCUUAGUGAAGAAAAAGGACGGUAGCUAAGGAAUAAGCAUCGGCUAACUCCGUGCCAGCAGCCGCGGUAAUACGGAGGAUGCAAGCGUUAUUCGGAAUUAUUGGGCGUAAAGGGUCUGUAGGUGGUUUUUUAAGUCUACUGUUAAAUAUUAAGGCUUAACCUUAAAAAAGCGGUAUGAAACUAAAAAGCUUGAGUUUAGUAGGGGUAGAGGGAAUUCUCGGUGUAGUGGUGAAAUGCGUAGAGAUCGAGAAGAACACCGGCAGCGAAAGCGCUCUACUGGGCUAAAACUGACACUGAGAGACGAAAGCUAGGGGAGCAAAUAGGAUUAGAUACCCUAGUAGUCCUAGCUGUAAACGAUGGAUACUAAGUGUUGGAUUCUAAAAAAUUCAGUGCUGUAGCUAACGCAUUAAGUAUCCCGCCUGGGAAGUAUGCUCGCAAGAGUGAAACUCAAAGGAAUUGA